rnacentral:rRNA from 1 species
AACGAACGCUGGCGGCAUGCCUAACACAUGCAAGUCGAACGAUCCCUUCGGGGAUAGUGGCGCACGGGUGCGUAACGCGUGGGAACCUGCCCUUAGGUUCGGAAUAACUCAGAGAAAUUUGAGCUAAUACCGGAUAAUGUCUUCGGACCAAAGAUUUAUCGCCUUUGGAUGGGCCCGCGUUGGAUUAGCUAGUUGGUGGGGUAAAGGCCUACCAAGGCGACGAUCCAUAGCUGGUCUGAGAGGAUGAUCAGCCACACUGGGACUGAGACACGGCCCAGACUCCUACGGGAGGCAGCAGUGGGGAAUAUUGGACAAUGGGCGAAAGCCUGAUCCAGCAAGGCCGCGUGAGUGAUGAAGGCCUUAGGGUUGUAAAGCUCUUUUACCCGGGAUGAUAAUGACAGUACCGGGAGAAUAAGCCCCGGCUAACUCCGUG